GUGCUCCCUUUGGCAGCACAUAUACUAAAAUUGGAAUGAUACAGAGAAGAUUAGCAUGGCCCCUACACAAGCAUGACACACAAAUUCAUGAAGCGUUCCGUAUUUUU
rnacentral:snRNA from 1 species